UAUCAGUCACCUGUCACCCUCUCCUCUUGCUCUGUCUCAGCCCUGUCCUGCACCUCCCGCCCUUGGGGAUUUCACCUCAGAUUCCUAUCCAUCCUCAGCAGUUAAAAGAUUAUUAUCUUCAAAGGGAACUGAGAUCUGUGCACUCAGUCCCCUGGGCUUGUCAAAGGCAGUUUUGUAGUUCUCUGAGCUGUGGGUCUCUAGGCUGAAACACUGGCUGGGAGUCAGGGCACAGAUGUUCUAGCCCAGGCCCCAGAGCCAUCCCCAGGCUGAUUACCUGUGAGGCAGUGUCACGAUGUGCUCCUGGGACACCCGACAGAUGUUCUUUGGAGCAGGCACUGAACCCUUCAUGGAGCUCCAAAGUCAGCCUCCUAGCAAACCAUCUGUUUCCUUAUGAAAAAUGGGACCAAAGUCACUUGUCUGGUGAAGCAUUUCUAUCCCAAGAAUGUCAUUAUAAAUAUUGAAUCAUCCAAGAAAAUAACUGAAUUUGACCCUGCUGUCAUCCUCGCUACCAAUGGGAAGUACGUGGCUGUCAAGCUUGGUCAGUAUGAAGAUCCAGAUUCAGUGACGUGUUCAGUUUGACACAACAAUGAACUUGUUAAUUGCACUGACUUUGAGUUAAAGCCAACUUCUGCAGUGUUUGUUCCAGUAACUGUAGAACCAACAGAACCUGAAGACAAACAGCAAAGUUCCGCGAGCUGCUAUGAACCCAAAGUGCAAGCCAGGAAGGUAAAUAUGAUGUCUCAUGCUGCUGGGGCUCAGAAUGCUGUUUGCCAAGAGUGUUGCCAUCAAUUUUCUCUUGACUGCCAAGUUACUUUUUUUCUAAGGAUGACUGGCGUGAGGAGGCUAUACUCCCUGAAAGCCUACAAAGAUGCUCUCUCCUAGCUUCCAUCUUCUCAGGGAUUCAAGUUGGCCUGUCAUAGCCUAGCUUAGAGGGCCACUGCCCAAAAUGGUUUUUCCUUGAAAGACACAAACCCUGCUACAGCAAUAACAGCUGCAUAGAAGGACAAAAAUCCUGCAAAGAAGGAGCUUGUGAUCCUAACUGCAUUACUGCUACUUCAUAAAGGAUAUAGGUCUCAUAUUUUUACUCCUACAACUUAUACACUUUGGAAAUGGGGUUUUGUUUCUUUUUACUUUCUUUGCCUCUGGGGUUCAAACAUUCUUCAAGAGCAAAACAGGUCCUGGAGGAAAGAGAGCGUGUUUACCUGAACAUGAAAGAUUCUGCCCAACACAGUAUUAAAUUUGCCCAGAAACCACCAGUCUCCUCCUCCUCUUCCUGUGGCUUGUUUCACCUGCUGUGUACACUUCUGCAGCCAUUUUUGCAGGGGUAGGGGGUGGACCAAACUUCCAUCACUUCCUGGUUUUCCUAGUACAUUACAAACAAAAACACACUCGAUUUCCCUAAUAUUCUCGGAGUAGUCAAUAGGCUUUCUAAAAUCUCUUCUACAUAUUCUUCAGGCUACUGGCAGAGAUCAGAGUAAAAUACAGAGGAAAGGCACCCCUUUCUAUCAAUUGAUUUAACAAUCAUGAAUUGACGGCUGCUAAAUUCCAGGCACUCUGGGAAGGGUACAAAGAUGAGUAAGAUAUAGGCCCUGCCUUCUAGUGAGUUUGGAGGGAAGGAUAGAAAUGAGAACACUAGAUUUCCCCUGCACAAACACUGUAUUUACUGGUUUUGCCUGCCAAUUUGUGCCCAGAGAGUGUGGGAUGGUUGGAUGGUGACUCUUUCACUGAUUGCCUGCUGUACAUCUCAGAUCAUGA